rnacentral:rRNA from 1 species
GUCUCCAGCCAUAUCACCAUGAAUUCACCUGAUCUUGUCUGGUCUCAGAAGGUAAGCAGGGUCAAGCCCGGUUGGUACUUGAACGGGAGAAA